AACGAACGCUGGCGGCAUGCUUAACACAUGCAAGUCGAACGAGACCUGCGGGUUUAGUUGCGCACGGGGGGGUAACGCGUUGGAAACCGCGUUUAGGUUCGGAAUAACUCCUCGGAAGGGCUGCUAAUACCGGAUAAUGUCAUCGAACCAAAGAUUUAUGGGCCUUGGUUGGGCUAGCGUUGGUUUAGCUGGUUGGUAGGGGAAAAGCCUACCAAGGCGACGAUCCAUAGCUGGUCUGAGAGGAUGGUCAGACACACUGGGACUGAGACACGGCACAGACUCCUACGGGAGGCGGCAGUGGGGAAUAUUGGAGGAUGGACGAUAGCCUGAAGCAGCAAUGCGGCGUGAGUGAUGAAGUCCUGAGGGUUGUAAAGCUCUUUUACCCGAGAUGAUAAUGACGGUACCGGGAGAAUAAGCUCCGGCUAACUACGUG
rnacentral:rRNA from 1 species